rnacentral:lncRNA from 1 species
AUAAAUGGGAGAAGAGGAAUUAAAUGCAGCAAAUAUGGACCACUCUGAGUACCAGUGUUGGUACAAGUCACCCCCAAACCUCAUCUGCUGAGCAUGAAAAAGAAAAGAGAGCACUUUCAGAAGAAAGUUUUCAAAGAGAUCCAAGAGAAGAAGAAAUAAUGUCCAGUUCCAGAACUUUCCACAUCCUCUAUACUGCUUCUACUAAAUAAAGCUCAAGCUUUUAGUGGGAGAAUCU